GCAUAAAUUGUUCUUGUGGAGAUAAAGUGGUUAUUGUGUCUCGAGUCAGUUGUUUUUGUGUUCCGAACUAAUAAUUUCACGUGCAUUGCUACGUUAAUGUUUGCCCCAGAGUUUUGCAGUCAUCUUUGCUAACAGUCCACAGGCAUAAAGAGUCAGCAGAGAAACUCAAGGAAACAGCCCUCACUUUGUCAUACAUAGUUUCACUUUAUAUGCUUGUUUUAUACUUCUCACAAGUGGAAAUUUCAUACAAAAGAACAGGAAGAAAAAUCAUGGCUAUCAGUGAAGACUGCCUGAUCAGGCUGACACCUCAGUCUGACAAGAAAUAAGGAGUCUUACACCUGCAGAGGAAACAUUUACUGCUGGUACCAGGACAUUCCCACGUGCUACUUAAGUACGAGCAGCCUUCCUGUCUUGCACACCUGCUGAUUUAGGUAGCCCUGAACAGAAAAAACACAAUAGGCGUUGGGUUGAGGACAUCUCAGGAAUCUCUUGGAUUGUUUCAGACCACCUCUAUGGAAGUCAGCAGCCUGCGUUUGCCAGGGUAUGUGGCUGGUGAUGGCGAACAGGCAACCGCUCUUCCCAAAGGUCACACAGCAUACAGCCAGGUGGCAGGCAGAAAAGCAGAGGGACCGUCGCUUCGAUUUAAACAAGGCUUAAACAGCUUAUGGGGUGGAGACGUUCAGGAACAGUGAAGACGUCACUGACCUUCCUCCCAGGACGCUACCUUAAAAAAUUGGGGCUGGGUGGGAGAACUUUCAUGUGCCACCCCCAGAGCUGCCUGGGAGCCACAGUGGUGGGUAAGAGGUUGUGACGGCGGUGUCCCUUCGGUGCUUGGUUUAUCACCUUAUUACUCUGAAGAACACCAAAGCCUCGGAAGCCAGUCCAGAGGUGGCCCUUUGCACUGACUGUAAUUACUGCACUGUUUUGAUCAUGGUUCUUAGAAAAUAGGUUCUGUGCAACUUUUGUCUCCCUACCAACAACUUCUGAUUUUUUAUUUUUUUUUUGAACAAACGAACUGUUAGCUGCAGUUAAAGAACUGAACAGAGAAUUUUUGAUUAAAGUGCCUGCUGGUUUCCCAAACUGAUGGAGGCCUGCGCCUCUCAUAGUGUUCUGAUUCAUACGGAGAACAGAGGACACUGGACGGGGGAAAACAGGCCUUGCUACUGUUCUUUUCAACCUCCCGUCAGCCAGCCACUGAACUGAAUGAAACACAACAAGGUGUUAUUGAUGCACAUGCAGAAAAGGCUGUGGCUAUCAAAUCUACUUAGCUAUUUCAACAGGCUCUGUAACAGUAGAAUUAAAAUGCACGCAGAAGCAUUGCUUUGAGAUAGGAACUGUUUGUUAUAUAUGAAUACAUGGUAUAAUAGGGGCUUUGAUUUUUGGUCAAUUUUCUUAGUAGCCUUUCUAUCAGAAAGGGAGGAGAGCAAGAUGCGUUCUGAGACUUGAACAAUUGAUCCAUGAGACAACAAUUUCCAUCCCCUGGAAUAUAGAUUGAAAUCUUCUGCAUUGCUAUUUUUGUACACAAUAAGGCAUUCUUUUUUUUUUUUUUUUUUGAAAAACAGAAUUGAAAACAUACAAAAAAGAAAUGAGGUUUGAAAGGCUCUUCACUUAAUGAUAGACCCAUGCCAGUAGAA
ensembl:lncRNA